CCUACGGGGGGCUGCAGUGGGGAAUAUUGGACAAUGGGGGGAACCCUGAUCCAGCCAUGCCGCGUGUGUGAAGAAGGCCCUCGGGUUGUAAAGCACUUUCAGUGAGGAAGAACGCCUGGUGGUUAAUACCCAUCAGGAAAGACAUCACUCACAGAAGAAGCACCGGCUAACUCCGUGCCAGCAGCCGCGGUAAUACGGAGGGUGCGAGCGUUAAUCGGAAUUACUGGGCGUAAAGCGCGCGUAGGUGGCUUGAUAAGCCGGUUGUGAAAGCCCCGGGCUCAACCUGGGAACGGCAUCCGGAACUGUCAAGCUAGAGUGCAGGAGAGGAAGGUAGAAUUCCCGGUGUAGCGGUGAAAUGCGUAGAGAUCGGGAGGAAUACCAGUGGCGAAGGCGGCCUUCUGGACUGACACUGACACCGAGGUGCGAAAGCGUGGGUAGCAAACAGGAUUAGAUACCCCUGUAGUC
rnacentral:rRNA from 1 species